CUAUUUUCAUUCUUGUGUUCCAAUCAAGUCGUUUCAUGCCUGGUGAAAUAUCAUGCAAAUGGUCUUCUAAAGAUCCUAGAGGCAUGUACUCAUAAACCAGUAGCCUUUGAUCUCCAUCAGCACAAUAACCAAUUAGAUUAACAAGAUUAGGGUGGUGAAGUAGACUUAACAUCAACACUUCAACUAGAAAUUCCCUGUUCCCUUGCAAACCAUUACGAUUAAGUUGCUUGAUAGCUACAACCUGGUUAGUGCUUUCUAGACGCCCUUUGUACACCCUUCCAAAUCCUCCCUCACCCAACAAAGUUUCUGCUCUAAAAUUUUUAGCUGCGGUUGCCAAUUCACGGAAUGUAAAUGUCAGUGCUGAAAUGUUAUCUGACCCUCCAUGUUUAGAAGCAUCCUUAACACUUAAAGGGGAAUUGCACUCCAAUUUCUCUGAAGUGGGUUUGAUCUGAUCAAGUUGCUUCUGGUUGAUGAUCAUCCAUUUCUUCGUCUUCUUCUUUGAGUUAUUGGCUCUUGAAAUACCGGAACAGGGAAUCCAUGCCAUCCGUCCUCAAUUAACACUAUUUAUGAAAGAAAUAGAGAAUGAAGAACUCAAAGGGAUAGUUGUUGGUAAUAUAUAGUGGCCAUGGAAAUAGAUAGAUAAGUUAAAACGGGGAAAGAAAAAAAGAGAGAAGCCAUCAGCCAACCAUCUCUCUUCCUUUCCAG
rnacentral:misc_RNA from 1 species